AACAGAAAAAUUUUGAGCAACCAUAGAAAACCCUAAAUCUAAAUUUUCUCUCCAAGCCACAGUCGCAAGCGUCCCUUUCCUUGUUCCACAGAGGCUGGCCCCCCCUCCUUUUGAAAAAACAAGAGAUCUCUCUCUCCCUCUGCUAAUCUUCCCGACUUUCAACCAAGACCCGAUCUCCCUCACUUUUCUCCUCCUACAAUCAUCGUCGAAAGAAACCCUCUCCCUUUGCCAAGCUAGCCAUCAUUGUUCCCCCCAUUUUCUUCUCAUCUUCAACCUUCAGCCCAACAACCCCCUUAUUUCCUGUUCCUUUUGACAAAAACCAGAAAGAGAGAGAGUGCUCCUUCCUUCUCCCAUAAACCAGCCACACACCCCACCUUCCCCCUCUCAAUCGGUCUUCACCAUCAGCAACAAUAGCGUCGUCCUUACCAGAGAUCCAGCAACCCACAGAUCCCCAUUUCUUCUCUUACCGUCGACCACAACAGAUCUACCCCUUAUCAGCAUAGACCAGCCUCCGCCGAAACCUCUCAAGCGACACCAACCUUCGGGCGCCUACAGAUCCACCGUUGUCCCUUUCCCUAACAAUGACAUCCCCCUCUCGGUCGUUUCUCCUCCUUAUUGCUAGUUACCUGAAGUAGAGGAGAAGACUACGAAACCCAAAGAACAAAUCUGUAGUGAAACAGGUCUGAAAAAGGAGAAAAGGAGAGAAGCAGACCUGAAAAACUAAGAAAGAAAAAACUAAAAUCAAUUGCUUGUUGUUUUUUUGGGUGUUUUGCAGGGCAUCGCCAGCGAGGAAGGGAAGAAGGGAGGAAGCCGCUCCAGAUCCCACAGUCUCCUGCCUUUUUCCUCGCAGUGGUGCAUGAACCCACGUGUCGCCAAUGGCGGUGACGUGUGGAGAAGACACGUCAUCACUGUUCCUGUGUCUAGAAACCUACUAGCACUGUUCCCGAGGGUCUUUUUUUUAAUGUUCAGACGUUGAUGUGUAUAUUUAGAUUACUGUUGUUUGAUUUAUUUUGAUAUUUUGUAAAAUGAAAAUGAGGGUGUGUGUGAGUAUAUUAUAUUAAAAAGGGAUGUGUGUGUUUUUACUUUCUUUUAUGUAUGUUUUUGAAUUAUAAAAUCGAAAAGAUAAAAAAAAAUUUAUGUUUUGAUUUGCACACGGUCAAGGAUUG
rnacentral:lncRNA from 1 species